AUUGAACGCUGGCGGCAGGCCUAACACAUGCAAGUCGAGCGGUAGAGAGGUGCUUGCAUCUCUUGAGAGCGGCGGACGGGUGAGUAAUGCCUAGGAAUCUGCCUAGUGGUGGGGGAUAACGUUCGGAAACGGACGCUAAUACCGCAUACGUCCUACGGGAGAAAGCGGGGGAUCUUCGGACCUCGCGCCAUUAGAUGAGCCUAGGUCGGAUUAGCUAGUUGGUGAGGUAAUGGCUCACCAAGGCGACGAUCCGUACUGGUCUGAGAGGAUGAUCAGUCACACUGGAACUGAGACACGGUCCAGACUCUACGGGAGGCAGCAGUGGGGAAUAUU
rnacentral:rRNA from 1 species